UGGCUCUUGCAGUGCCAGAAAAUAAGGAAGUGCUCAAUAAAACAAACAAAAACUACAAUGUCGGGGGCACAUCAAAGGGACAGAUGGAACCAAAUGAAGAGCUCGUAAUAGCCGUAGCUGUGACAAUCAUCUGAACAAAAAAAUAAAGUUGUAUUGCAUUAUAGCCCAAAGUAUAAAAUAAACGUCCCUAAAUCCAAACUGAGAGAAAUAAAUGACUAAAUAG
rnacentral:lncRNA from 10 species